rnacentral:rRNA from 1 species
UACGUAGGGGGGCAAGCGUUGUCCGGAUUUAUUGGGCGUAAAGAGCGUGUAGGCGGCCAGACAGGUCCGUUGUGAAAACUCGAGGCUCAACCUCGAGACGCCGAUGGAAACCGUCUGGCUAGAGUCCGGAAGAGGAGAGUGGAAUUCCUGGUGUAGCGGUGAAAUGCGCAGAUAUCAGGAAGAACACCCGUGGCUAAGGCGGCUCUCUAGUACGGUACUGACGCUGAGACGCGAAAAGCGUGGGGGAGCGAACAGG